AUUUCUGCUAAAAAGCAGAAAUAGUACCUUUUAGCAGAAAUUUCUGUCAAAAGAUAUUAUUUAUGUUAAAACAUAGUAUUUCUGCUAAGUCAUAGUAUUUCUGCCAAAUCAUAGUAUUUGUACUUAUUCAUAGUACUUGUGCCAAAUCAUAGUAUUUGUACCCAAUCAUAGUAUUUCUGCAAUAUCAUCGUAUUUGUGCCAUCCAUAGUAUUUGAGCGAAAUCGUAGUAUUUGUACUAAAUCAUGGAUAUCUGCUGAAUAUAGUAUAUGUGCCAAAUCAUAGUAUUUAUAGCAAAUCAUAG
rnacentral:lncRNA from 1 species